UACGAAGGGGGCUAGCGUUGUUCGGAACUACUGGGCGUAAAGCGCGUGUAGGCGGGUCUUUAAGUCCGGGGUGAAAUGCCAAGGCUCAACCUUGGAACUGCCUUUGAUACUGGAGACCUUGAGUCCGGGAGAGGUGAGUGGAAUUGCGAGUGUAGAGGUGAAAUUCGUAGAUAUUCGCAAGAACACCAGUGGCGAAGGCGGCUCACUGGCCCAUUACUGACGCUGAGGCACGAAAGCGUGGGGAGCAAACAGG
rnacentral:rRNA from 1 species